AUGAAUGGGGAUGACUUCUGCUUCUUAAAAGGACUAUCACUUGCAACCUCUGCUCCCUCCAGCUAUAGACAAAGGCUACCUUUGACCUCCCCAGCUUGUUCAGCACCACCUGCUACCCAGGCACACCUGGAUCCACUGCUGAGUUUCCUAGGUGUUGGACAAUGCUGGAACCAAGAACCUCCGAGCACGUUUCAUCCUCUGGUUUCCCUGAAACUUUCAGUUACACCCUGA
rnacentral:lncRNA from 1 species